rnacentral:rRNA from 1 species
CCUACGGGUGGCAGCAGUGGGGAAUAUUGGACAAUGGGCGAAAGCCUGAUCCAGCCAUGCCGCGUGUGUGAAGAAGGCCUUCGGGUUGUAAAGCACUUUCAGUGGGGAAGAAAGCCUUGGGGCUAAUACCCUCGAGGAAGGACAUCACCCACAGAAGAAGCACCGGCUAACUCCGUGCCAGCAGCCGCGGUAAUACGGAGGGUGCGAGCGUUAAUCGGAAUUACUGGGCGUAAAGCGCGCGUAGGCGGUCUGAUAAGCCGGUUGUGAAAGCCCCGGGCUCAACCUGGGAACGGCAUCCGGAACUGUCAGGCUAGAGUGCAGGAGAGGAAGGUAGAAUUCCCGGUGUAGCGGUGAAAUGCGUAGGGAUCGGGAGGAAUACCAGUGGCGAAGGCGGCCUUCUGGACUGACACUGACGCUGAGGUGCGAAAGCGUGGGUAGCAAACAGGAUUAGAUACCCGGGUAGUC